rnacentral:rRNA from 1 species
CACCACAGCCUUAUUACCCUGCAGCCCAAGACUGGUUACUCACUGAAGCUAACAGGGCUGAGCCAGGUCAGUACCUGAAUGGGAGACCACAUGGGAAAAGUUUGGUUGCUGUUGGAA